AUGGAGACAUGCAUAUCUUCUCUGCCGGAAGUGCAAACCGAGGAAGAAGUUGCUGGCGGAGCCCUCAAGAAAUGGCCAGAAAGAGCAUCUGCAGUUCCGCCGAGAAUAACCCGAGGUUCAGUUUCAGGCAUCAACCCUGAGAAGUUCGAAGAGGACAAUAAGUUGUGGGCAGAGCGAGCGGGCCACUACAAGAAACUGAUCCCGCCACUGGCCAAGGGGAGAUACAGGAACGUGAUGGACAUGAAUGCGGGGAUGGGGGGUUUCGCCGCUGCGCUGAUGGAGUAUCCGCUCUGGGUGAUGAACGUGGUGCCUUUAGGUUCUUCUCCUGAUGCCCUUGGUGUCAUCUACGAUUGUGGGUUUAUUGGAACGUACCAUGAUUGGUGUGAGGCUUUCUCGACGUAUCCCAGGACGUAUGACCUCAUCCACGCUGAUAAAGUGUUCAGCUUCUAUCAGGAUAGGUGUGACAUAACAUACAUUCUCCUGGAGAUGGACCGGAUUCUGCGGCCUGAGAGGACGGUGAUCUUCAGGGACACCGUGGAGAUGUUAGUGAAGAUACAAGCCAUCACCAAUGGCAUGAGAUGGAAGAGCCAGAUCAUGGAUCAUGAAUCCGGGCCGUUCAACCCUGAGAAGAUCCUUGUGGCCGUCAAAACUUACUGGACCGGGGAGCCUGCCCAAAAGCAGCAAUAG
rnacentral:rRNA from 1 species